rnacentral:lncRNA from 1 species
AAUUGACCACCUAAAUUGUGAUGGAUCUGUGAUGAAGGAAGAUGGAAUUGUUUGAUUUUAUUUCACUUAUUUGUAAUAGUUUGUGAAUAAACUAAUAGUCAUUAGUAUCAGCUCGUAUUACUUAGGUUAUGAUAUAAUGUUAGUAUUAGUUCUUUAGAAUGUUUCAAUAUGCUCAGAUUUCAAUAAAUAUUUUUAUUUUCCAGUAGAGGUAAUCGACUAACCUAACAGUUAGUCGAUUAUCUAAUAUUUCGCAUUAAAACUGCAAAACAAUC